rnacentral:misc_RNA from 1 species
GAUGAAGAACGUAGCGAAAUAUGAUACUUGGUGUGAAUUGCAGAAUCCCGUGAACCAUCGAGUCUUUGAACGCAAGUUGCGCCCGAAGCCACUAGGCCGAGGGCACGCCUGCCUGGGCGUCACACGCCGUUGCCCCCCCAUCUACUCCUUCGGGAUUGCGGGGGGGCGGAUGAUGGCCUCCCGUGCGCCUAGCCGCGCGGUUGGCAUAAAUACCAAGUCCUCGGCGACGCACGCCACGACAAUCGGUGGUUGCGAAACCUCGGUUGCCCGUCGUGUGCGUUCGUCGCGCAUCGAGGGCUCGAAAAAAUGCUCGGCUCCGGCUGGGCUUUCAACGCGACCCCAGGUCAGGCGGGGUUACCCGCUGAAUUUAAGCAUAUCAAUAAGCGGAGGA